UGCUCAAAAUCUUCGCGGUAAGUGUCUCUUUACCAUAAAAUUUGACCGAAUAGGUUUCAAAACAAUGCGACGGCAAAAAAUGCAAAAAUCCUGAUUUUCGUAAUAGAAUUUAUAGUCUUUUUGCCCUGUUGUACCGCCAUCUUGGACUUAUCAUGCAGGCCCCGCCUGCGCUAGGUAUGCGUUAGCAAUCUAGAUCUCCUAUAUCUAUGG